CUUAUGUGAAAGCAACAGAAAUCAACAAGAACUUUGCAAGAGAUUGAAAGUCUGCUGAGGAGGUCAAAGGGGACAGCUCAGAUUGCAGCAGCAGAGCUGUAUGUGCUCUGAAAGAACAGAGCAGCAAUGAGACUUGUGUGGCAACCCUAACAGUGGCUGGGAAGCUGGAGAC